ACGGGUGAGUAACACGUGGGAACGUGCCCUUCGGUUCGGAAUAACUCAGGGAAACUUGAGCUAAUACCGGAUACGCCCUUUUGGGGAAAGGUUUACUGCCGAAGGAUCGGCCCGCGUCUGAUUAGCUAGUUGGUGGGGUAACGGCCUACCAAGGCGACGAUCAGUAGCUGGUCUGAGAGGAUGAUCAGCCACACUGGGACUGAGACACGGCCCAGACUCCUACGGGAGGCAGCAGUGGGGAAUAUUGGACAAUGGGCGCAAGCCUGAUCCAGCCAUGCCGCGUGAGUGAUGAAGGCCUUAGGGUUGUAAAGCUCUUUUGUCCGGGACGAUAAUGACGGUACCGGAAGAAUAAGCCCCGGCUAACUUCGUGCCAGCAGCCGCGGUAAUACGAAGGGGGCUAGCGUUGCUCGGAAUCACUGGGCGUAAAGGGCGCGUAGGCGGCUUUUUAAGUCGGGGGUGAAAGCCUGUGGCUCAACCACAGAAUUGCCUUCGAUACUGGAAAGCUUGAGACCGGAAGAGGACAGCGGAACUGUGAGUGUAGAGGUGAAAUUCGUAGA
rnacentral:rRNA from 1 species